CAAAGUUGAUCGUGUUUAUGACGUCGAAUAUCGACGUCAUAAACAUCUAAGUUGAUCGUGUUUAUGACGUCGAAUAUCGACGUCAUAAACACCAAAG